rnacentral:misc_RNA from 1 species
UCCCUUUCCCCCGCUGCUGCCGGAGUUCGAUAUCGUCACUCUCUUAAUCCCCGCUGUCGAAAUAUAAAACUUCAUAAUGAUUUGCUGGCAGUUUCCUGAGCUUUAUCGCCCUUUCUCUCUAAUUCCAUGUCAAAUUCCAAUCCCUUUCCGCUUCUCACUCUACGCUGCUGCGUCGAUACAAAGAGAUCUAGCUUCUUCAGCACCACUUUUGGUCACGAGUUUGAUCUCUGUGGAGUUGAGUGAGUGAGUACAAAAUCGCUUUUAAGAGACUCAAUGGGAUGAGCCUUCUGUAUCGG